rnacentral:rRNA from 1 species
UAAGGAAUAUUGGUCAAUGGACGGAAGUCUGAACCAGCCAUGCCGCGUGCAGGAAGACGGCCCUACGGGUUGUAAACUGCUUUUGCAGGGGAAUAAACCUCGUUACGUGUAACGAGCUGAAUGUACUCUGAGAAUAAGGAUCGGCUAACUCCGUGCCAGCAGCCGCGGUAAUACGGAGGAUCCAAGCGUUAUCCGGAUUUAUUGGGUUUAAAGGGUGCGUAGGUGGCCUGUUAAGUCAGGGGUGAAAGACGGUAGCUUAACUAUCGCAGUGCCCUUGAUACUGAUGGGCUUGAAUGAACUAGAGGUAGGCGGAAUGUGACAAGUAGCGGUGAAAUGCAUAGAUAUGUCACAGAACACCAAUUGCGAAGGCAGCUUACUAUGGUUUUAUUGACACUGAGGCACGAAAGCGUGGGGAUCAAACAGGAUUAGAUACCCGCGUAGUCC